AAGCCUUCGACUUCAUAACUGGCAGGACAUUCAAACUGGUUGCAACAUCCAGAGAUAUUGCUUGGAAAUGUAUUUGUGGAUAUCAGAAACCUCAGCUGACUAGACCAAACAAAUUGUGAGGGGAUUUUAAUCAAUCUGGCAGCAUGGAAUCUUACGACACAAAAUGUGACCAAUCAACUUAUUCUGCCUGUGUCUGCCUGUAAGGUAUGGUUGGGCCUCGGACAACAUCUGGGGGAAAUCUCGUGCAGAAAUUUUCUGGGACUGAGAUGACUGACCUCCAACAACCACAA